rnacentral:snRNA from 1 species
UUGCUUCAGCCGCAUAUGUACUAAAAUUGGAACAAUAUAGAGAAGAAAGAUUGGCAUGGCCCAGUGCAAGGAUGACAUGCAAAUUCAUGCCUGUGGAAUCCACNGUGCU